UUAAAUGCAGUGAAAAAGACGAGUAAAUAAUUUAUUUCUUUAAGUGAAAUGGUGAUAGUGCAAAACCGUUAGACCCUGAAUUAUUGAAAAACACUUUUAGCAGCACGCUGAAAUUUACGUGAAAGUAGGUUGUGUCGUCUCCAGUACGUUACCACGCUGGUGGAGCAUGUUAGUGCUUCAUGAGUUGGCCCUUAUUUGGGGCAAUUAAGGUGGUACCGCGGAAAAAGCCUUUCGUCCUUGUU
rnacentral:ncRNA from 1 species